UACGUAGGGACCAAGCGUUGUUCGGAUUUACUGGGCGUAAAGGGCGCGUAGGCGGCGUGGUAAGUCACUUGUGAAAUCUCCGAGCUUAACUCGGAACUGCCAAGUGAUACUGCUGUGCUAGAGUGCAGAAGGGGCAACCGGAAUUCUUUGGUGUAGCGGUGAAAUGCGUAGAUAUCAAGAGGAACACCUGAGGUGAAGACGGGUUGCUGGGCUGACACUGACGCUGAGGCGCGAAAGCUAGGGUAGCAAACGGG
rnacentral:rRNA from 1 species